rnacentral:rRNA from 1 species
AUUGAACGCUGGCGGCAGGCUUAACACAUGCAAGUCGAGCGGAGAUGAGGUGCUUGCACCUUAUCUUAGCGGCGGACGGGUGAGUAAUGCUUAGGAAUCUGCCUAUUAGUGGGGGACAACAUUCCGAAAGGAAUGCUAAUACCGCAUACGUCCUACGGGAGUAAGCAGGGGAUCUUCGGACCUUGCGCUAAUAGAUGAGCCUAAGUCGGAUUAGCUAGUUGGUGGGGUAAAGGCCUACCGAGGCGACGAUCUGUAGCGGGUCUGAGAGGAUGAUCCGCCACACUGGGACUGAGACACGGCCCAGACUCCUACGGGAGGCAGCAGUGGGGAAUAUUGGACAAUGGGGGAAACCCUGAUCCAGCCAUGCCGCGUGUGUGAAGAAGGCCUUAUGGUUGUAAAGCACUUUAAGCGAGGAGGAGGCUACUGAGACUAAUACUCUUGGAUAGUGGACGUUACUCGCAGAAUAAGCACCGGCUAACUCUGUGCCAGCAGCCGCCGUAACAC